rnacentral:rRNA from 1 species
AUUGAACGCUGGCGGCAGGCCUAACACAUGCAAGUCGAACGGUAACAGAAAGCAGCUUGCUGCUUUGCUGACGAGUGGCGGACGGGUGAGUAAUGUCUGGGAAACUGCCUGAUGGAGGGGGAUAACUACUGGAAACGGUAGCUAAUACCGCAUAACGUCGCAAGACCAAAGAGGGGGACCUUCGGGCCUCUUGCCAUCGGAUGUGCCCAGAUGGGAUUAGCUUGUUGGUGGGGUAACGGCUCACCAAGGCGACGAUCCCUAGCUGGUCUGAGAGGAUGACCAGCCACACUGGAACUGAGACACGGUCCAGACUCCUACGGGAGGCAGCAGUGGGGAAUAUUGCACAAUGGGCGCAAGCCUGAUGCAGCCAUGCCGCGUGUAUGAAGAAGGCCUUCGGGUUGUAAAGUACUUUCAGCGGGGAGGAAGGGAGUAAAGUUAAUACCUUGGCUCAUUGACGUUACCCGCAGAAGAAGCACCGGCUAACUCCGUG